UACGGAGGGUGCAAGCGUUAUCCGGAUUCACUGGGCUUAAAGGGUGCGUAGGCGGGCAGGUAAGUCAGUGGUGAAAUCUCCAAGCUUAACUUGGAAACUGCCGUUGAUACUAUCUGUCUUGAAUAUUGUGGAGGUGAGCGGAAUAUGUCAUGUAGCGGUGAAAUGCUUAGAUAUGACAUAGAACACCAAUUGCGAAGGCAGCUCACUACUCAAUCAUUGACUCUGAGGCACGAAAGCGUGGGGAUCAAACAGG
rnacentral:rRNA from 1 species